rnacentral:rRNA from 1 species
CGGAGGGUGCAAGCGUUAUCCGGAUUCACUGGGUUUAAAGGGUGCGUAGGUGGGCAAGUAAGUCAGUGGUGAAAUCUCCGGGCUUAACCCGGAAACUGCCAUUGAUACUAUUUGUCUUGAAUACUGUGGAGGUCAGCGGAAUAUGUCAUGUAGCGGUGAAAUGCUUAGAUAUGACAUAGAACACCAAUUGCGAAGGCAGCUGGCUACACAAAUAUUGACACUGAGGCACGAAAGCGUGGGGAUCAAACAGGAUUAGAUACCUUGGUAGUCCACGCCCUAAACUAUGGAUACUCGACACUUGCGAUAAACUGCAAGUGUCUGAGCGAAAGCAUUAAGUAUCCCACCUGGGAAGUACGAUCGCAAGAUUG